AUCCCAUGAUGAGGACAAGCCGCAAUAUACUCUUGAUGUCUCUCCCAAGCUUCUGGAAUUGUUUCCAUAGCUGUCUGCUGAAAACUAGAAAUUUUACCUCUAAGGGC